rnacentral:rRNA from 1 species
ACUGGGGGAUAACAGUUAGAAAUGACUGCUAAUACCGCAUAACGUAGCGAGGGGGACAUCCCCCUUGUUACCAAAGGAGCAAUCCGCUGUAAGAUGGGCUCGCGUCCGAUUAGAUAGUUGGUGGGGUAAAAGGCCUACCAAGUUCGACGAUCGGUAGCCGGACUGAGAGGUUGAACGGCCACAUUGGGACUGAGACACGGCCCAGACUCCUACGGGAGGCAGCAGUGGGGGAUAUUGCACAAUGGAGGAAACUCUGAUGCAGCAACGCCGCGUGAGGGAAGAAGGUUUUCGGAUUGUAAACCUCUGUUUUUAGUGAAGAAAAAAAUGACGGUAGCUAAAGAGGAAGCCACGGCUAACUACGUG